GCUUCCUUGGCUCAGUUGGUAGAGCGUUGGUCUCAUAUCUAAUGUGAGGAACGAGUUCGUUUCGCAAUCCAAAGGUCGUGAGUUCGAGCCUCACAGGGAGCA